GUUGCCUUCGCUGGCCGCUCACGGGAACCAUGACGUUUACUUUGAAAAAAUUAGGGUGUUCAAAGCAGGCGUUCGCUUGGAUACAUUAGCAUGGAAUAAUGAAAUAGGGCUUCAGUUCUAUUUUGUUGGUUUUCGGAAUCGGAGCAAUGAUUAAUAGGGAUAGUUGGGGGCGUCAAUAUUUGAUUGUCAGAGGUGAAAUUCUUGGAUUUAUGAAGGAUUAACUUCUGCGAAAGCAUUCGCCAAGGAUGUUUUCAUUAAUCAAGAACGAAAGUUAGGGGAUCGAAGACGAUCAGAUACCGUCGUAGUCUUAACCAUAAACGAUGCCGACUCGGGAUCAGUGGCUGUUACUUAAUGACGCCAUNGGCGCCGUAGGAGAAAUCAUAAGUUUUUGGGUUCCGGGGGGAGUAUGGUCGCAAGGCUGAAACUUAAAGGAAUUGACGGAAGGGCACCACCAGGAGUGGAGCCUGCGGCUUAAUUAGACUCAACACGGGGAAACUCACCAGGUCAGGACAUAGGAAGGAUUGACAGAUUGAUAGCUUUUUCUUGAUUCUAUGGGUGGUGGUGCAUGGCCGUUCUUAGUUGGUGGAGCGAUUUGUCUGGUUAAUUCCGAUAACGAACGAGACCUUAACCUGCUAAAUAGGCACGCGAUCCGAUCGUGAUUGCGCUGCUCUUCUUAGAGGGACCCUCGGUAUCUAGCCGGAGGAAGUUUGAGGCAAUAACAGGUCUGUGAUGCCCUUAGAUGUCCUGGGCUGCACGCGCGCUACACUGACGGAGGCAUCGAGUUUUCAUCCUUCCUCGACAGGGGUGGGUAAUCUUGUGAAACUCCGUCGUGAUGGGGAUAGAUCAUUGCAAUUAUUGGUCUUCAACGAGGAAUU
rnacentral:rRNA from 1 species